UAGGGAAUAUUGGACAAUGGGCGCAAGCCUGAUCCAGCCAUGCCGCGUGAGUGAAGAAGGCCCUCGGGUUGUAAAGCUCUUUUGUCCGGAAAGAAAAGCAUUCGGUUAAUACCCGGGUGUUCUGACGGUACCGGAAGAAUAAGCACCGGCUAACUUCGUGCCAGCAGCCGCGGUAAUACGAAGGGUGCAAGCGUUACUCGGAAUUACUGGGCGUAAAGCGUGCGUAGGUGGUUUGUUAAGUCUGAUGUGAAAGCCCUGGGCUCAACCUGGGAAUGGCACUGGAUACUGGCAAGCUAGAGUGUGGCAGAGGGUAGUGGAAUUCCUGGUGUAGCAGUGAAAUGCGUAGAGAUCAGGAGGAACAUCCGUGGCGAAGGCGACUGCCUGGGCCAACACUGACACUGAGGCACGAAAGCGUGGGGAGCAAACAGG
rnacentral:rRNA from 2 species